CGUGCCUAACACAUGCAAGUCGAGCGCGAACGGGGGGCAACUCCCUAGUAGAGCGGCGCACGGGUGAGUAACACGUAGGUAACCUACCCUCGAGCCUGGGAUAACCUACCGAAAGGUGGGCUAAUACCGGAUAUGACCACGGGAGUUUCGGCUCCUGCGGUGAAAGAUGGCCUAUGCUUGCAAGCCAUCACUCGUCGAUGGGCCUGCGCGCCAUUAGCUAGUUGGCGGGGUAACGGCCCACCAAGGCUUUGAUGGCUAGCUGGUCUGAGAGGAUGGCCAGCCACACUGGGACUGAAACACGGCCCAGACUCCUACGGGAGGCAGCAGUGGGGGAUCUUGCGCAAUGGGCGAAAGCCUGACGCAGCGACGCCGCGUGGGUGAUGAAGGCCUUCGGGUCGUAAAGCCCUGUCGAGGGGAAAGAAACGGUCGGGGUCUAAUAGGCCCCGGCUUUGACGGUACCCCUAAAGGAAGCACCGGCUAACUCCGUGCCAGCAGCCGCGGUAAUACGGAGGGUGCGAGCGUUGUUCGGAAUCACUGGGCGUAAAGCGCGUGUAGGCGGUCCGCUAAGUCUGAUGUGAAAGCCCGGGGCUCACCCCCGGAAGUGCAUUGGAAACUGGCGGACUCGAGUCCCGGAGAGGAGAGUGGAAUUCCUGGUGUAGCGGUGAAAUGCGUAGAUAUCAGGAGGAACACCGGUGGCGAAGGCGGCUCUCUGGACGGUGACUGACGCUGAGACGCGAAAGCGUGGGGAGCAAACAGGAUUAGAUACCCUGGUAGUCCACGCUGUAAACGAUGAGCACUAGGUGUCGCGGGUAUUGACCCCUGCGGUGCCGCAGCUAACGCAUUAAGUGCUCCGCCUG
rnacentral:rRNA from 1 species